UGGAGCCUACGGGGGGCAGCAGUGGGGGAUAUUGCACAAUGGGGGGAACCCUGAUGCAGCGACGCCGCGUGGGUGAAGGAGCGUUUCGGCGCGUAAAGCCCUAUCGGCAGGGAAGAAGAUGACGGUACCUGACCAAGAAGCCCCGGCUAACUACGUGCCAGCAGCCGCGGUAAUACGUAGGGGGCAAGCGUUAUCCGGAAUUAUUGGGUGUAAAGGGUGCGUAGACGGGAAAACAAGUUAGUUGUGAAAUCCCUCGGCUUAACUGAGGAACUGCAACUAAAACUAUUUUUCUUGAGUGCAGGAGG
rnacentral:rRNA from 1 species